rnacentral:misc_RNA from 1 species
AUUUAAAAACAUAAUAGAAGUUUGAUUCUAGGAUCAAAGGAAAAGCAAUGUACCAAAAGAUUCUGAAGAACAAACCAAUAAAGAUGUUUUAUUGGAUUUCCAACAAGUUACAUUUCAAGUUCUUGGGCAAGCUUGGCCUUUACAGAAAAAAACACAAGAAACUUAUAGGAAACCUCUUUGUAUGUUGUUUUUAUCUGAGUUUGAAACUAGUACAUGGAAAGUUCAACUUUCAAUUCUCAAAGCUACUAAAACCUUUAUUUCCAGAUUGCAAUUUCCUAAAGGAAGAAUUUCAAAUUCAGAUGAAGAGCAAGAAUUAAUUUCAAUUGUUGAUGGGAUUCUUAAUAUAGGAUAUAAAACUUUAGAAAUGUGUAAAUAUUCAUCUUUAAGAA